rnacentral:rRNA from 1 species
GACGAACGCUGGCGGCGUGCCUAAUACAUGCAAGUCGAACGAACAGAUGGGAGCUUGCUCCCUGAUGUUAGUGGCGGACGGGUGAGUAACACGUGGGUAACCUGCCUGUAAGAUUGGGAUAACUUCGGGAAACCGAAGCUAAUACCGGAUAAUAUAAGAAACCGCAUGGUUUCUUAUUGAAAGAUGGUUUCGGCUAUCACUUACAGAUGGACCCGCGGCGCAUUAGCUAGUUGGUGAGGUAACGGCUCACCAAGGCAACGAUGCGUAGCCGACCUGAGAGGGUGAUCGGCCACACUGGGACUGAGACACGGCCCAGACUCCUACGGGAGGCAGCAGUAGGGAAUCUUCCGCAAUGGACGAAAGUCUGACGGAGCAACGCCGCGUGAGCGAAGAAGGCCUUCGGGUCGUAAAGCUCUGUUGUUAGGGAAGAACAAGUACCGGAGUAACUGCCGGUACCUUGACGGUACCUAACCAGAAAGCCACGGCUAACUACGUGCCAGCAGCCGCGGUAACAC